rnacentral:piRNA from 1 species
AUAACCAGAGAAACACCUGGUCUGCCGGUC